rnacentral:rRNA from 1 species
AUUGAACGCUGGCGGCAGGCCUAACACAUGCAAGUCGAACGAGUGGCGGACGGGUGAGUAAUGUCUGGGAAACUGCCUGAUGGAGGGGGAUCACUACUGGAAACGGUAGCUAAUACCGCAUACCAUCGGAUGUGCCCAGAUGGGAUUAGCUAGUUGGUGGGGUAAAGGCUCACCUAGGCGACGAUCCCUAGCUGGUCUGAGCGGAUGACCAGCCACUCUGGAACUGAGAAACGGUCAAGACUCCUACGGGAGGCAGCAGUGGGGAAUAUUGCACAAGGGGCGCAGGCCUGAGGCAGCCAUGCGGCGUGUAUGAAGAAGGCCUUCGGGUUGUAAAGUACUUUCAGCGGGGAGGCGUUACCCGCAGAAGAAGCACCGGCUAACUCCGUGCCAGCAGCCGCGGUAAUAC